CUUACCAAUAAUAGCCAGUGUUGACAAGACAAAAAGUAACCCUAAGUCAUUACAAAGACUACCAUGAUAUUUUAUUGAAGUCUCGCACUGUGCGUAAGCAUACAAGUAAUGAAAAAAAAACCAAAGAACAGCAUGCAUGUUUUCUACAUUAUUCGACCAUUUGUCAGGAAGGUAAAAAAAAAAAACAGCCACUAGAACCACCAUUAAGACAAAUGCCAUAAUAAGCAAGUUUCAAGAGAAAUUUUCAGUUGAACAAGAACCACCUCAGAACAGCUCUGCAGCAUUAAAAGAGCUUCAGUAUAAGUUAGAGGUUAAGAAAAAAUAACUCGGGUUGCUCUGAACCUUGGUAACAGAUAUAUCCCAACCACUGCUACUUGAGAUAAAGAGUAGUAAACUGUGGUUCCAUAGAAAAAACUAGAAAUAUACCAGAUACCCUCAUGCUCUAUGGUACAGCUGCUCACCAUGUCAGUUUUUCUACAGUAUUUUACCCAUGAGAAAUCUAAGAGACACAAGAAGAAAACAGUCACAAGACACUGAGCAGCACAAAGUGUAAACCAAACUCUGUAGCUGAUGUCAAAUUAUACAAGAAUUUCUACUAAAAGAAUUCUUCCCUCUCUUCAACUUCACUCCUGAACCAGAACUUCUAUUGUGAACACAGGAGUGAAAAAGGUUGGGGAAAGAGGGAUGAGAAAGGCCUCCCUGUAACUGAUCAAGUAAUCUUGUAUAAAGAAGUAUAAUACAUUUGAAAAGCCUUCUUUCCAGGCCUCAUGAAGACUGAUUACCGAAGAGCGUUUUGCUGUUUGUAGGAGCUUGCUGGGUCUCUGUUGGCUUCCUGUCCUAGGUAGAUGAGUUCAUUGGCUCUUCUGAACAAGCAAUGAGGUUUGGGUAUAUGCACUCAUUUCCUUCUGUUUUCAUUCGUUUCCUGGCUGAUGCAGGAAGGGUUCUAGGAGCUUACAUCAUUCCAUUUCAUUCAGUGUUACUGUCAUAGUGUUAGAAUGCCCUGUCUUCUAUGAGAUUCCAAAACAAGUGCGUGCCCAGAAGAGGAGGUACACAAGGCCCAUGGCAGUAUAAUCUAUAAGCACAGCACAAAGGGUAGAGGCUGGAUGUUUGGAAUAAUCUAGUUUCUAUUUAGGCACCUAAUGGAAUAUUUUCAGGACUGCAAUGCUCAAAUGCUUCCAGAGAACUUCAUUAAUGUGAAAGGCAUGAAAGUCUCUUACCACGUCACUUGUGAACGCUGCCAUCCAUCUCACAAGUCUCUCAUCCAUCUCGCCAAGUCUCACAGCCGAAGGGCAGAGGAGGGAAGAAGCAGACAAGCCUGGUUCUUGGUUCUUUCAGACACACAAUGUACUUUAUUGCUGAACUUGUUCCAGUACAAGCUUCCUUAUUCAGGUCUGACUAAGCAGUUGUGAUUACGAUGCAUAUAAGAGAAAUUCCCUAGGCAGCACAAUGGAAGCUUAACUUCAGCCUGUGAUGUCUGAUCUUAAUAUAAGAUGUCAAGGCAUCACUAUGUGAGAGCACUUGGCCUUUCAAAAACAAGGUUCAAAGCUGCACACAAAUCUUGAAAGAGAUGUGGAAAGACUCAGCAAUAUGGAUGUUUUUUCCGUGAUUCCAGUAACGUAUACAAGGAACGAACCAUUAUUGUAGACACUUGUCUCUACAAAAACAGCAAUCUCUUCUUGUGCUUCAGCAGUGUAGUCAAGAAAGACAAAAAGCUUGUGACAAAGUAUAAAAAAUUAGGAAAUUUUAGAAAUUCAUUAUUCAUCAAUCACCACUAUUUUUUUAAAAAAAACUCCUUUUUCCCCAAGAAAAUGUGUGUUUAAGAAUACACUUGCAUAUUACCAUUACUUAACGUCUUUCAGCAACAUGCACAAAGCAAUAAUAGAGGUGGCAGGGCACAUCCAGUGCCAUCUUAAUACUACCAGGAAUGCUGGGAAACAGUACAAACUUGUUACAAAACAAUAAUACUGACAGUUUUGCAUAUCUAUUAAGUUUUGUGAGGUAAUGUUGACACUUUAAAAAAUCAUGCCACUGCUGCACUGGUUGUUUUUAUUGCUGAAUUGACUGUUAAUACUGAAUGUGAUUUUUUUUUCUUUUUCAAGCACUGCACCCAGCACAUCUUAAUACUAAGAGUAUGAUCUGUGGCCAUCCCAAAGGUACCACCCAGCACAAUGUCCAAAUUCAAUUAAUGCUCAUAUAACAAAACUCUAUUUGUAGAAAUUCAUAUACCACUGGUGUUACGUCCUACAUGAUAGAGUGAAGGUUCUCUUCACUGAUGCCUUUUCAUGAACUGAAUGAAAAUAAGUACAGCCACCAAGAAAAAUCCUCUCUGUUCUAUUUGCUACAUAAAACCUUUACUGUAAGUGCCCACAAGUUAAUAAAUAGUCCCAUUCCUUUUUCCUUCCAAUGUGUGUAGUGAAGGUAAAGUGCAGUGGGAAGCACCGAGGAAGCCCUCUGUCCAGCCUAUGGCUUUGUUAGAUGCGGAGCUGGUAGCCCACCUCGUUGAGCGUAGCCAGGUCUCCCUUCUUGUCCACCACCGCAGGCGAUUUGUCUCUUCUGAACGGCCGUCUCGGAGGGCUGGCCUGCCUCCGGCGAGGGGACAGCGACUUACCCCGCGACCUCUCCUUCAUGGGAGAAUGGGCACUUGAGGGCUUCAGAAUCUUCAUCCUCAUAUCCCUGGCAAACUUCUCCAGCUCCUUCCUGACUUCUGUGCGCAUCAUUUUGGAUACAUUGAGGACCAGCUGUUUCCACUCAAUGGGCUGAAAGCUGUGUGGCUCAUGUGGGACAUAUAAUCCGAUUUUGACUUUUUUGACUGAAUGCAAGUACUUCUUAUAGGAGUCUUCAAAUUCAAAGAUGAGGUCGCUCAGAGUUCGGUAAGUCAGAGGUUUGUCCAUUAGAUCCGAGCGCCUGCUCAUGCCCAGUGAUCCAUACCGGCCAUUGCAGUAAAUCCCAAGCACCACAUGAUGAAAAUAGUUCCCUGAGAAGUGGGUUUUAAAGCUGAUGGGGAAUCGUUCCACGGAGGGCUGCCCAUUUGUUAGGUAUAUCCCCAGGAUGACUGCUUCAAGGCAUUUGAUAGGUAAGGACUCCCUGGUCAUUUCUUUUGCUGUUUCCAUCAACCCACUUAGAGGUCUGGUUUUUCUGAUCUCGAAGAACUGAGUUCCCGUGUGAUUGUAUUGCAGCAUCUUCAUGUAGGUCUGUAUUGCCUGCAGCCAUUCUGGGAUGGACAUGGAGAGCUUGUAGUUGGGCACCGGCGGCACCGAGGGCCGGGCCAGGCAGGCGGCGCUGCGGAUGGCGGCGGCCACGGCGCUGCCGUCGGGGUGCACCCGCUCCACGUGCCCCCACAUCCGCUCCCAGGUCUGCCCGUCCAGCGGGAAGCCGCUCUUGUUGACGAGGAACAGCACCCCGCCGUCCCGCUGCUCCUCCUCCUCCGAGCCGCCGCCGCUGCCCGCCGCCCGCGGCUGAGCGCUCCGGGAGCGGCCCCCGCGCCCGUCAUGGGCCCGCCGCCAUGCCCCGGGCGGGGGGCGACCGGGCCCCGCCGCCCCCCUCUAUCAAUAGAGAUGGGUAUAGACGUGCGUUCGCGCGCGCCGAGGCCCCGGCCCUAACGGCAGGUACCCGCCCCCCGCGCGACACCCCGACUCCCGCGGCCCGGGCGCCCCGGCCCGGCCCCGACCGCUCUGCGGGUUCGCCGCUCCAUGCCGCCCCGCCG
rnacentral:lncRNA from 1 species